rnacentral:rRNA from 1 species
GAUGAACGCUGGCGGCGUGCCUAAUACAUGCAAGUCGAGCGAAUGGAUUAAGAGCUUGCUCUUAUGAAGUUAGCGGCGGACGGGUGAGUAACACGUGGGUAACCUGCCCAUAAGACUGGGAUAACUCCGGGAAACCGGGGCUAAUACCGGAUAACAUUUUGAACCGCAUGGUUCGAAAUUGAAAGGCGGCUUCGGCUGUCACUUAUGGAUGGACCCGCGUCGCAUUAGCUAGUUGGUGAGGUAACGGCUCACCAAGGCAACGAUGCGUAGCCGACCUGAGAGGGUGAUCGGCCACACUGGGGCUGAGACACGGCCCAGACUCCGACGGGAGGCAGCAGUAGGGAAUCUUCCGCAAUGGACGAAAGUCUGACGGAGCAACGCCGCGUGAGUGAUGAAGGCUUUCGGGUCGUAAAACUCUGUUGUUAGGGAAGAACAAGUGCUAGUUGAAUAAGCUGGCACCUUGUCGGUACCUAACCAGAAAGCCACGGCUAACUACGUGCCAGCCGCCGCAGUAA